rnacentral:rRNA from 1 species
AGCAGCCGCGGUAAUUCCAGCUCCAAUAGCGUAUAUUAAAGUUGUUGCAGUUAAAAAGCUCGUAGUUGAAUUUCGGGAUCAAUAUGUUGGUCGUGCCUUUGGUACGUACUAGCUUAUUGAUUUCUCCCUUCUGACGAACCAUGAUGUCAUUAAUUUGGUGUCAUGGGGAAUCAGGACUGUUACUUUGAAAAAAUUAGAGUGUUUAAAGCAGGCUUACGCUUGAAUACAUUAGCAUGGAAUAAUGAAAUAGGACGUUUUGAUUCUAUUUUGUUGGUUUCUAGGAUCGACGUAAUGAUUAAUAGGGAUAGUUGGGGGCAUUAGUAUUCAAUUGUCAGAGGUGAAAUUCUUGGAUUUAUUGAAGACUAACUACUGCGAAAGCAUUUGCCAAGGAUGUUUUCAUUAAUCAAGAACGAAAGUUAGGGGAUCGAAGACGAUCAGAUACCGUCGUAGUCUUAACCAUAAACUAUGCCGACUAGGGAUCGGAUGAUGUUAAUUUUUAAUGACUCAUUCGGCGUCCG